GACGAACGCUGGCGGCGUGCUUAACACAUGCAAGUCGAACGGAAAGGCCCUGCUUUUGUGGGUUGCACGAGUGGCGACCGGGUGAGUAACCCGUGAGUAACCUGCACCUCACUUAGGGAUAUCCUCACGCCACCGGGGCUAUUAACGGAUACGAGCUCCUGCCGCAUGGUGGGGGUUGGAAAGUUUCGGCGGUUGGGGAUGUACUCGCGGCCUACCAGCUUGCUGGUUGGCUAGUGGCUUACCAUGGCUUUGACGGGUACCCGGCCUGACAGGGUGACCGGCCACAGUAGGACUGAGAUACGGCCCAGACACGAACGGGAGGCAGCGGUGGGAAAUAUUGCACUAUGGGCGGAAGCCUGGUGCAACGACGCCGCGUGCGGGAUAGGCGCCUAGUGGUUGUAAACCGCUUUCGCCUGUGACGAGGCGAUAGUGACGGUAACGGGUAAAGAAGCACCGGCUAACUACGUG
rnacentral:rRNA from 1 species